GUCUUAAUAGUUUAAAUUAAAACUCUGGUCUUGUAAGCCAGAAAUAACAUUAGUUUUAAGGCA
rnacentral:tRNA from 1 species